rnacentral:rRNA from 1 species
AGGGAAUAGAUACCCGGGUAGUCCACGCCGUAAACUAUGGAUGCUAGCUGUUAUGAGUAUCGACCCUCGUAGUAGCGUAGCUAACGCGUUAAGCAUCCCGCCUGUGGAGUACGGUCGCAAGACUAAAACAUAAAGGAAUUGACGGGGACCCGCACAAGCGGUGGAGCGUGUUGUUUAAUUCGAUGGUAAGCGAAGAACCUUACCCAGGCUUGACAUCCUGCCAAGGUCUCCGAAAGGAGAUUGUGCCUUCGGGCCGCAGUGACAGGUGAUGCAUGGCCGUCGUCAGCUCGUGUCGUGAGAUGUUUGGUUAAGUCCAUCAACGAGCGCAACCCUUAUAGUUAGUUGUAUUUCUCUAGCUAGACUGCCCUGGUAACAGGGAGGAAGGGGGGUAGGUA